AGAACGAACGCUGGCGGCAUGCCUAAUACAUGCAAGUCGAACGAACACUUCGGUGUUAGUGGCGCACGGGUGCGUAACGCGUGGGAAUCUGCCCUUGGGUUCGGAAUAACAGUUGGAAACGACUGCUAAUACCGGAUGAUAUCGAAAGAUCAAAGAUUUAUCGCCCAGGGAUGAGCCCGCGUAGGAUUAGCUAGUUGGUGAGGUAAAGGCUCACCAAGGCGACGAUCCUUAGCUGGCCUGAGAGGAUGAUCAGCCACACUGGGACUGAGACACGGCCCAGACUCCUACGGGAGGCAGCAGUAGGGAAUAUUGGACAAUGGGCGCAAGCCUGAUCCAGCAAUGCCGCGUGAGUGAUGAAGGCCUUAAGGGUUGUAAAGCUCUUUUACCCGAGAUGAUAAUGACAGUAUCGGAAGAAUAAGCCCCCGGCUAACUCCGCGCCAGCAGCCGC
rnacentral:rRNA from 1 species